UUCUUGGCCACCUGGGCACACUGCUGGCUCAUGUUCAGCUGAGGGUCAACCAACACCCCCAAGUCCACUUCUUCCACACAGUCUUCCAGCCACUCUGUCCCAAGCCUGUAACGUUGCCUGGGACUGUUGUGUCCAAAGUACAGGACCAGCAAGUGCCAGCACUUGAUCUCAUUGAAAUUCAUCCCACUGGCCUCAGCCCAGCUAUCCAGCCUGUCCAGAUCGCUCUGUAGGGCCUUCCUACCCUCAGGCAGAUCAACACUUCCUCCCAACUUGGUGUCAUCUGCAAACUGACUGAAGGUGCACUCAAUCCCCUUGUCCAGAUUGUCAUUAAAGAUGUUGAACGGGACAGGCCCCGGUACCAACCCCUGGGUUGGUCACCACUCGUGACCAGCUGCCAGCUGCAUUUAACUCCAUUCACCACCACUUUCUGGGCCUGUUGCUCCAGCCAGUUCUUUACCCAGCAAGGAGUGUAUCUGCCCAAGCCACAUGCUGCCAGCUUCCCCAGGAGAAUGCUAUGGAAUGCAGCAUCGAACACUAUCAAACACUCUCACACAGACACUUGACAAGACUGGAAUCCUUUCUCAAAUGAUGCUAGUAUCCACAUCUGGUUGUUUUCAAAUUUACAGAAAGGAAAGAUGUAUUGUUGAGAGUACAUGUAUGUCCAGUCACAUUAUAUUGUACAGCAUUGCACCAUGAAUACUGUAGGAGACAGUAUCAAACGCUUUGCUGAAGUUGAGUUAGACUACCUCAGCAUCCUUUCCCUCAUCCACCAGUCAGAUCAUAGAAGGAAAUCAGCUUGGUCAGGUGGGACCUGCCUUUCAUGAACCCGUGCUGGCUGGGCCUGAUCCCUUGGCUGUCCUGCACAUGCCAUGUGAUCUCCCUCAAGAUGACCUUCUCCAUAACUUUUCCUGGCAUGGAGUUUAGGCUGAUGGGCCUAUUGUUCCCCAGAUCCUCCUUAUGACCCUUCUUGUACAUGGGAGUCACACUGGGAAGCCUCUUGGACCUCUCCAGUUGGCCAGGAACUCUGAUAGAUGGUGGAAAGCAGCUUGGCAAUCACCUCCACCAUCUUCCUCUGCACUCUCAAGUGGAUCUCAUCUGGCCCCAUGGACUUGUAACAGUUUAGGAGGAGUAGUAGGUCUCUCACUGUUUCCACCUGAAUUGUCAGGUGUUUAUUCUGCUCUCCAUCCCAGACUUCCAGGUCAGGGGUAAAUAGAGAUAAUUGGUCUAACUAUUAAAGACAGAUGUAAAGAAGGCAUUGAGAACCUCAGACUUUUCCUUACCUUCAGUGGUCACGUUCCCUGCCACAUCCAGGGAAGGAUGGAGAUUCAGUAAAGGAGGACAUACUGAGUAAAUUAUAUCCAAAAACCUUAUCUUAGAUGCAACCCAAGUAUAACUAGAGCAGAAGUUUUGUGAGUUUGUUAAUGUUGACUCCGUUGACUCCUCACUUAGUAUACUUCUUCUCUUCUCUGCUGCCCUUACAUCCCUAGUUUGCUGCAUGACCCUUCAGUUUAGAGGAGCUGAGCUCCUGCACAUUGCCCUGGCUAGAGCAACAAUGGCAGUCAGCAACUACAGGUGCCUCUCUCCUCUGCCUUGGAGGAACCCAGCAAUUUCAUGCUGCCUCCUAAAACUUUGUAAUGCCACCUGAACCCUCAUUUGACCUUUAAAGAGGGCAUGAACUACUAACUUGAGAAACCCAAGACUAAAGCACAUGUCGGAAAGGAUCCAGGCUUUAUAUGAGUAUCUGCAAAGGUGUAUGGUCCAUUCCUCCCCUUGGUGGUUUGCUCUUGUGACUCCUGUGAUAACAUUUACUGUUCAAAAAACCUGAACCAUUCUGUUUUUGUCUUCUCAUCAUUGAUUUAGACUUAAACAUUUGCAACAGGAUAGCAAAUGACAGUCAGUGAGAAAACUGAAACACCUGCAAUAUGGAAUUUAAUUCUGCUCUAUGAUGCUGACAGGAGCAUUCUAAAAUAAAGUUAUCUUCUCUUUCUUUACAAGCCAAUCUCACUGCUUUUCUCUGAGUAGCUGGAUGGUGGAAUAGUUAAAUUAACCCAUGGCUUCCCAUUGCCAGGGUUCCUCCUGGUUGCCAUGUCUCUGGAUUUUGAAGGGCCAUAAGAUACUGCACUCUGCAAGUUAAGCCACAACCCUUGGGCCUUAUCUUCUGUUGGAGUCAUCACUCUUUUGCUCAGAGAUAUUCCAUGAUACCCUUCUUCUGCUGCCACCGUUCUUCUUUCUCCCUGCCCUAAGGCAGCAGAGAUGUUUUGAAGGCAACACUCUUACAAGUUUUUUCUUCAAAAGAAAUGAAGCAAAAAUAGAAAUUGCCUGGGUUUUUUUUCUAAAUAGUAGUUAAUUCCACCUUUACUACAGACACCUGCAAAUGCCUGCACAAAUGCACAUGCAGCUUGUGGACACACACCCAGCCAUGCACUUUGCUUUCCUUCUCCAACAAAGAGCUAGGCUUGGCUUACACUUUCUCAGCAAUGUAAUCAGUUGUAGAAAUUACACUGUGUUAUAAUUCCUUUAUCUAGAAAUACACCUUGUAUUUCUUGCUACAAUCAAAGAGUAAGGAAGGAUUUAAUCAAGAGCUUAUAGACGCAGUUCAGUCUUCAGCAAACUGCUGCAUGAAAUCAUCACUUAGCAGUUUUCCUUCAGCUAUGUGACAAAGUUGUAAUUAGCCCUGUGAACGCUACUGUUUCUUAUGCAAGACACAAAGUAGUUCUUUUUUGCCCUGCAAAGGCAUCCAGGUAUAUCCCUCCAUUUACUGAGUUGUUGAUACAAAGGAGCCCAGUGUAGUAGGCCAUGUCUAUGCAUCUCUUCAUUGUGAGUAAAGCUAGCAGGAUUAACCUUCCUAAAUGAAAGGGGGUGCAAUAAGCCAAAUCCCAAAGUCAUUAGAGUAAUAUGAGGGAUGAAUUUGGGAAAUGCCUCUAAAACACCAAACUGUUAAAUUCUAGGAUUUAAUUGGAUUCAAUUAACUUGUUAAUUUAAAAAUGAGUGACCCAAUGUAUUACAUCAUAGAGAAAGCCUCAGAAAAUCAAGUGUGAAAAGAUCUGUUGCCCUAAAAUGGAGGGGGAAAAAAAAGAAAAAGAAAAAUAACUACACCGAGCUUUCAUGUCCUGGGUCAUUCCAUCAGUCUUUCCAUAUUAACCUGUAAGCGUAUAUAACAUUAACUGAGAGACAGCAGUUCUAAACUAACAGUUUCAAGUCAAGAGUUAAAAUGUAGGAAGUGCCAGAAUUAGGACUCCCCAUGAAACUAAUUCAGCAGUCUUCUGUGUUCACAGCAAGAUGACGUUUUACUCCUCAGAAACUUCUUGUCCAUUUAGUGCUCAGAAAGGAUGCACUCUCUUGAUGAGCAGUUGCUCUUUUUUGCAUUCUUCUUGCUCACUGUGCACAUCCCCAAAUUUAUUUCUGCUUCAAAUUCCAUUUUAUAGAUUAAUUCUGAGUUUCACUUUGGCUUUUGGAUAGUGCUGAUCAAUGUAAAGCAUGAGAAAAUCACAGAAAAAUCAUUUAAUGAUAUUUAUCCCCUUGAAGUGAGGAGAUAUGAUUUUUUCCACCUUAGAGUUUUAGUAAGAUGUAACUAUGAAGUAUUUUCUGAUCUGAGCAGUUCAGUUGGACAAGUUUUAUGACAUUAGUCUUCAGAGUUUUUUGGGGUUUGAAAUGCUGAACCCUCCAACUUCUGCUGCUCUUCUUGCAACUGUGACAGCUUACCACUUCAGCCAAUCAUAUACUAUAUCAUAUACUUGGAAUUCCAAUCAAGUAACCAAAUACAGAGAGCACCUACUACUAAAAAAGUUAAGAAACUGAAAUUUUAACUCAAACUUGGAGCUUGUAGAAACCAAAUUUGGACACAACUCUUAUGCCAAUUGUUAAUUCCUCCUCAGGAGCUCUAUAGAGAUUAUGAGAGAAACAGUCAUGAAGGUCAGGACAGCAUCCUUUUCUGCAUCCUCUUCCUAAGAGUAUUCUGACCUGUCUUGUCUGAUAUUACUGAGGCAGUUGUAGAACAGGAAAAGUUUCAAUAUCAAACUAAAUACAUAACAGUCACUUCUAUAAUUUCUCCAAAAAAAAAUCUCCUCUGCAUUGACUUGUAUGUAUAGUAUUGAUUUAUAACAGCUGUGGCCCAGAUUCUCACCCUUAUAUCCAUUCUGAAUAGUGCUCCACUUAACCUGUGGAUGGAGCUACCAGAGAAGGCUUGGAGUCCAGCAUUGACUAUUCUAUAUUCAGGAUAGAUAUUAGAAAAAAAGUCUUCUCAAAAGGAGUAGUGAGACAUUGGAACUGGGGAGGUAGGGGAGUCACCAUCUUGGAGUUGUUCAAGAAAAGGGCAGAUGUGGCACUGAGUAACGUGGUUUUGUGGACAUGGUGGUCACGGGUUGAUGAUUGAACUAGAUCGUCUUAGUACCCUUUUCCAACCUUAAUGACUUUAUGAUUCUAUGAUAUUUGAAACUUGCUGCAAUCUGGCCUUCUGAAAGUAAAAAAAAUAAUAAUAAUAAUUUCUGUAUAAUGGCAAUGCCCAAAGUUCAAUCUUCAUUCUAUGUAAACUGUACUCUCAAGCAUUGCAUUGCUUCCUUACCUUCAACGACGCGUUUCUAUUUUUUUUCCACAAUGUCUGCUUUGCUAUUAAAAUAAAAAAAAAGCUGAGUAGUAAGUUUGCUAUAAUGCUUUUAAUUUUCUUCACCCUCCGAUGCAUUUUCUAAAUAAAUAAAUGAAUCCUUGACAGGCUAUUUCAUCCCACAGGACAGGCCUUUGCUGGAGAAAAUGUUGUGGAGUAAAAGUAGUAAAUGGUGAUCUCCAUAUUGGCAGAGCUCCCCAAAAGCAACCUUCAAAGUUAAAAAUAGGCCUUGCUUUCAUUGCCAUCUGAAAACCAAAGCAAGUAAGCAACAUAAUACUAAAAUGAAGUAGUAGUUAAAAAAUAUAUCCUGUAAUGCUUUAUGUGCAAAACUUACAGAGCUGUGGAAAGAAAAGCCACUAGAAUAAGAAGGAUUUUUCUUGUAUUGUUCAUGCAUUCUAGCACCCUUUUAAUAAGAGAUUACCAGGAAGAACAACACAGCAUCUUUCUGGAAAAGCUAAUCAUCUGAUCUCAUUGUCCAUGCCACAUAAUUGCCGCUAAUUCAUGUUCCAUUAUGUCAUACUCCACAAUGGCCUUUCACUUGUGCUCACAGUCCUGUUAUCUCUUUUUCCUCCACUCACAUCUUCCUCUCGGGUCCUUCUAGCCACAGGAAAAGGUUUUCAUUUAGUGUUUUCUGAGAGCUUGAGGCUGCUAAAACCGCUUUGGUAUUUAUGACAAGUAUUAGUAUCUAUAGGAUUCUAUUGACUCAUACAACAGCCCUCUGCUCUGCUAUGGUAUGUGCCUUCCACCCACACUUUCUACCUUCCCAGAUUUGAGCUGGCAUUUCUUUCUCUCUUUCUGUCCCUCCCUGUGACUCAUUCUGCCUGCUUGGAAGCACAAAGCACACUUCAGCAGCUCUAGGGACUGUGUUACCUCCCCUUACUCUGUAGCUGAACUCCUUACCUGAAUUAGAAGCAGGUUUGCUCUGCUUCCUCCUCAGAUGUGCAUUGACCCUGCUUCUGAUAACUUAUAGCAAAGGCUGAGGAAUUGCUUUGCUUCAGCAGCAGCAGCGGGUUGGUACAACGGAACCUCACCAUCCCGCCUUCAUAAAGAUGCUGCUGUGUGACAGUGCUGUCACUCAGUCCAACAGCAUAGAGAAGGCUGCUGUGCUACCACAGCAUGGCUAUUUUAAUUAAUGUGGAACUUACAUAGAUUCUGUUCAUCAAUUUGAAAAUCCAUGCAGCACAAUAACUGCCAGGACUGCAUUUUCCCUACAUUAACUGGGAUUCAUGACACAUCAUGGGAACAGAGCUUUAUCAUCCUAUUCACUCCCUUCUCACUCUCCUGCCUCUCAGCAUUCUCACCCAAAGUUGAUAUAUUUAAACAGGAAUUCAACAACAAUAUUGGGUAGCAUUUUUCAUUAGGCCCCAUUUUCUAUGCCAAACAGUGUUGCCAAAGGUGCUGAUGUUAGGCAGCCAGGCCCCCAAGGUUCCCUCUGCCACCAAGGAAAGAGCUAAUCAUUUCCCACAAUGAGUCACGGGAGGUGGAUUAAACAGCCCCACGGACCUGUCUGUUUCUCUGACAACCAUAUGUGGCACGCAAGGAGGCCAGAUUCCUAACCUGACUCUCUCAGUUGCCUAAAUUUGGUUGCAUGAAUCCACUUCUACAUGUUGCUGCAGAUAAACAUUUAAAUGGAUUGCAACGUGCAGUGCCUUUGAUAGCUCUUCUUGUUCAUCUUUUUUUACUUCUUAUCAUGGAGCAAUUGUGGUUUCCGUAUAUUGAAUUUUUCAAAGAAAAAAUCCUACAUGAAAAUAUGUAUUCCAGUUCACUUCAAAAACUCUGGAUAUUAACAUCCAGGCCAAUUUUCUGCCACUCCACAACAUGUUGUCUCUGUGGAACCACUUUGGUAUGCCUCACCUUUAGCAGGAGCUACCAAACGCAAGCAGAAGCUGUCAUAUCUGCCAUCCUUCUGGGUCACAUGUUGAUGUCCUGUGUGUGUUAUUAGCCACUCCUCAGCUUGAUCUGAAGUCUAUUGAAAUCAGUAGGGGUCUCUUCACUCAAUUAAUGGGACAAGGAAAUCAUUUCCCCUACCAAGAAGAGUGUUUUGCAUGUUCAUCAGUACAUGACAGACAGGUGGAUUCAAACCUUUCACGAGGAAGGGGUCUGAGCCAAUGCUGAAUGGAGGUGUCAGUUCUCAAUACAGACCAGUUAGGUCUGCUGUUACAGUUCCCAGCAUCGUACUUUUUAAUGCUCUUGGUGGUGCACUAAUCUUCAUUUGUUCAGCUGGGGAUGACUUGUCAUAACACAUGAGUGGUUUAACAAGUGAAGAUAAGAGCCUUUUCUAACACUAAGCUUUUCUAUAUCUGCCUCAUACAGUAUUCUGCACUUGAAUUACAGAGCUGUUGAGUAAUCUCAGACUUGCACUACCAUUUAUGGCUUAGCUUCUGACUUUUAUGCAAUUAGCAGAAGUGGUAGCAUUUACUGGCUUUCAAAGAAGACUGUUCCCUCUUUCUCCCUCCUGCUGCAGCCUCCACACCCUCUCCUUCAAUCCGCUCAAACUGGGAGGUAACUGGAGCAAUUUGACUCAUCCCAUUAAAGCAAAUGAUUGUAGCAAACAAACUUGGCCCGAGCCAAAGGCUACUGUAUUCCACAGGAGUCUGAGGACUCCAGAGAAAUGACUGUCCUCCACUGCAGUAGAGGUCCAACAAUAUGUAUAUGGGAAAGAGUCAGAAUCAAUUCUCAUUAUUAUUAUCUUAGUAUUCUCAUCCUACAUGUUGUCCCCUCUCCUUCCCUGCUAGACUGGCAGUUGGGGUGCAGCUCUGCAAUAAGAGGCACUGGGAAGGCAGGCAGUGCUAAACAGACAAGGCACACAUCUCCAGGUGGCUGUGGCACACACCUGUGAGUCACGCAGUAUUCCCCAGACUUUCCAUAAAGGUGACUGCCUUCGCUAAGCUUGUAACAGUGCUGGGAGACAGAUCAUUGAAAGGACAUCUCUCCAUCAUCCAGGUUUUCCAAGGAGCUGAAAGCCAGAUUUCUAGCACAGGAGCAGUGUGAUUUCCUCAAGAGCCUGUAUCUCCCUUGGGCAUCUGAGUGAUAUUGCAUACUCAGCUUGUUACUUACGCAGAUUUGUCCCAAUCAGCUUUGAUGACUGCAGGCAAAUUUCCCACAGAGUUCUGACUUCAUGCUUUAAAUGCAGCUCUAAAAAAGCGACCCAGUCUGUCCAAGCAAAGGGCUGAGAGCAAAGGGGCAAGCCAAAAAUCCCUGAUCAGAAAAAAAAUGUGGCCAUAAACAGGCGGGCGAGGCAACCACCUGCCCCAGGGAUUGAGACGCACACAUCACUGUGGCUGAAGGCACAGCCCUCCUGUGUUAGUCCCACAGAGCACACCAGUCUGAGCUUUAGAGUGUGUGGAAAGUUUUAAGCAUGCCUGUGUUCCCACUGAGUUAAAGUCAGAGCCAACAGGAUACUCCCAGCCUUAAGCACUUUGGCAAAAAUCGGCCACAAAACAUCAGCCUCAUACUGAACUGAGCGAGGUGGGAACUCAUUACAGCAUAUUGCUUUGUUCAGCACGUACAUUGAUAUCGCACACAGUGUAUCAACUGGUGAGCUGCAGAAAUGCCUCAUACGUUGCUUAUCCUGCACCUCUCCUGCUCCCACCCCAUUAACCCAGGCAUGCUGGAGCCACUUUCAGAGCUCCAAACCCAAGCAGCUCUUACAAACCCACUAGCAUGUUCGUAAGCAUAUUUCCCCCAGAUAUGGUAUUUCCCACAGCAGAGAUGCAGCAGUCAGUCUUGAUAAACUGGCAGGCUUCAUGUGUGAUAUCCUACAUGCCAUUAGCACUGGCAGUGUGUGCACUGUACAGCUGAGGAACUAGGAAUCCCAUUAUAUUCAUUUCUUGGCAUUAUGCAAUUGUACUCAUGGGCUCUGAGGCAAUCUGCACUUCUGCGUGGAUAUUGGCCUCAAGUUGUAUUGAAGGUACUCCUCUUAUGACAUGUUGUCAUUCUCCCUCUGGACUAUUUACUCUUACAAAAACACAAUUGCAUUUUAUCCUGGUAGCAAACAACUGCACUAGAUAACAAAAUCUCCUGUCCAGCAUUGCAUUCCUGGGCCCAAGUGAGACACCAGGAUGCUGAAAUUCACUUUCCAGGUUGACACCAAUUACCACAUCAUUAGGGGUGUGCCAGCUGCACGGAUUUUUCACAGUAAGGCAAUUUCACAGUUGGACAUCAUGCCACUCCACAGUGCCCAUGCUGCGUUACAAGCAAAUCACCAAACUCUUCAUGUUAAAAACACCUGGCUUUAAAGGCAGACAGGCAGAACAAGUAAAAAAAAUAGUGUAACUCCCUCAAGUGUUUCUAGGAUAACUCUUACCCUUCAGGGCAUCCCUCAGGAGCAGGAAAGGCACUGAACCUGGCUGUGCUCCCACCUCAGCCUACAGGAGCAUGUGCUUGUUCUCAAGUGCGGGACUCCAGGGAAGCCGUCCCUGAAAUACGUGAUGACAGUAAGGCUUUGUUGGCACAGGCUUAUACACGCCCAGCAACACUUUGCACACAUACUGGCAGGCUCUCACACAGAGAGUAAUUGGGGCCAACUGUGUUAACAUGUCCUUGUCCAUUACAGGAAAACUGCAGCACUAUCCUGAUCCUGAAUAUAUUCUUGAAUAAUACAUCAUGCUACAAAUCUGCUUUCACUGAUAUCUGGUGAAAAUUACAAUCAGUGUGCUUAACUUCACUCUUAACCAUUUAACCAGAAGCUUUUAGGCCAUUUGCUGGUGCAUUGCUUUUGGAUGAAGCAGCAACUGGAGGAGAUGUAGAGUGGAGGAAGCUCCUUAGAGCUGCUGUUGGUUGUGGGACUGAGAGCUGGAAUUCAAGUUCUCCAUCUCUGCAACAGCACCCCUGCUCCACUCUCUACUGGAAUAUAUCCCAAAGGCUCCAGCCCCAAAAUUAUUUCCUAUGGAAGUUUCUCAAGUUGCAGAAGCUCCAGCUCCCAGGUCCUUCUGUCCAAAUCUCUGCUUCUGUGACAAUCAGUGUUGCCUAAGGAAAUUCUGGAGCAACACAUAAUACCUGCUAUCUUAGACAAUGCACAAACUAAAUCUCUUAGCAGCAUGAGAGGCCAUGUCCAACCAGGUUCUUUACAGUACAUAUCACUAAUACUGUGACAUGUUCUGCUGCUACAGGUAAGGGCAGAUGAGCACAGCUCUGAUCUAUUUUCUCUCUUGUAAAAUUCAAACCUGUUUCUAAACUCAGCUCUGGUGAGGUCAGAGAUUUUGAUGAAGUACUGUCUUUCAUCGAGUCCUUGGAACUAGCCCAGCUCCAGAGGUGGUACAAUACAGAGGGAGAGCAGGAUAAAAGUGCUGAUGAAUAUGCAAGAAGGAUCAUAAAGGAAUAGGUAUAGAGGAUAAUGUAACAUCAUUCUGACACUAGUUCUCCCCCUGUGCUCUGCAAGAUGGUUAGUAGCAAAGCCCAGUAUUUUUCUCACUGGUCCCAACUGCUAGCAGGCUGCCAGAGAAUUUUUGAGUAUUCCCUGCUUCUCAGUAGUUAAAUUUUGUCCUUUGCAAUUUUCAGAUUUCUGAUAGAACUGCUGGUGACAGUUGUAAUAAUAUUCUGUAAAAUGUUGUGGUAGUGAUUCUUUGAAUGCCUUUGUGGUUUGCUGUCCAGAGUUAUAAUAACCUAUGUUUGCCCAGAUAUGUGUCCUCAGCUUGGAGGCUCUGGAGCCAGCAUUUACUCCUCUGCCCUGGUGACUGCACGUGUGCACAAGCAUGUACUGCUGAGCCUGUGAGCAAGCCUCUCUCCAGGUAUUUUCAGCAUGCUCCCUGCUUCCUAUGUAGCAUCUUUCAGCCUUCACAUCUCGAGGAAAGUAGGUGACCUUAGGCUAGUUGUGUGUAAUGGAGCAGAAUCCACCAAGAGGGACCAUCGGUGUCUUCUGAGCCUUUUUUCAGUGUCCUGUGUUUCUCCACUAGUUAUCUUAAUCAUUUUGUUAGAGGAAAAAAUAAUGGGCAGAAUAGAAAAGAGAGGAAGAAAAAGAAUACAACUCUGGGAUAGUAUAACUGGAAACAAGAUUCUAAUCAGCAUAGCUGCACCGAGAUUAGUCUGAUAAGAUAGUUUACUUCAGAUAGCAACCUCACUCUGUUGAUCUCCAGGAGUUUAAUUUCACUUCUACAGAAGGAUGAGAUACAAUAGUCAGCUUGCAUUAACAUUGUCCUGGUGUUAGGUCUACCUAUACAUAUGCCCUUAGUGAAAAGUGCUGAGUGAAAUCUUAGGAAUGAGCUUGUGUGACUAAUAUUGAAAUAAUGUGGGGGGGGGACACUGGUUUCAAUUAUAAGUUGAAAGAAAACUCACAAGGGUAAAAAAGAAGAUUCCAAAAUCAUUCUAAUUCUUAAUGGAUAUUCUUAUGUGACUUUCUAUAUUCCUUACAUGUAUACACACACACACAUGUAUAUAUGUAUUCAUGAAGGAAAACAACAGAAAAGAAGAAAGAAAUGUGAAUUAUGGGUGGACCUGGAUUCAGUUUUAUUAAAAAAUAAAAAUUAAAAAAGAAGAUAUAUCCCAAAAUACUUGAAAAAUUAAUAAACUACAUCCCAGCAGUGCAUGGAUAUUACAAAAGCCAAGGUCUCUACUCCGUGUCAAGGAACAGUUCCUAUACAUAUUUAAAAAACAGGAUCCUCAUCUGCUGAAAAAAAAUUGAAGAGAGUUCUUGAGAUGGGAAGAAAAGGGCUGAAUUUAGUUUGAGCAGAAAAUCCUUCAUGGUUUGGUUGCACACAAACAAUGUUAUACCCUCUGAAAGCCAGGCUUUUGAAAUGAACUCAUGCUCUAGAGGAAGGAAAAGCUUUCCAUGGAGCUUCCCUUCUUAGUGGCUGUCCCUCCUUCCUCCAGCACACUGGUAUUACGUAUCAUUUGCUGUAAUGGAAGAAUUGUGAUAUUAUGUUAUUAAUACAGACAUCACACACUGCGGUGUGGAAUCGCAGGCCAGACAGGACAUUUUCUCCCUAGUACCUUGGUAUUUACAAAUGAAAUCCUUUAAUCUAUGUGCAUAUUAACCAUUAUUAUUAGAGCAUCAGUAAAUUUCUAAACCUGAAAGUGCACCCUCACAAAGCUUUAGGUUUAGUGGAUGAUAGCAUAUUGGAAUGCUAAAUAGUGAAAUUGUCCUUGGGAGUUUACAUUCAAGAGCCUUGUCAGAGACCCCAAAAUCUGUAGAGCUAAGCACAAUUUUUGUGGAGCAGCCAUGCAGAAAAUCUUCUUCCAAAGCCAAAUUCUCUUACUGAUGUAAACUCUGCUUUGUCUCUUACCUCUUUUACAUGCCUUCCCCUGCAUCUCUGCCCCUGCCCCCUCCUCAAAAGGGGGAUCAUCCUUUGCUCACUGAAAUUAGCAACCAGCAUGUCCUGCCCUGUCCUUUGUUGUCUCUUCCUGACCAGUGAUAGUCAGUCCUCCACAUGGGACAAAUGAGCCUCAGUGGCACAGUACAAAGUCUCUUGCCUGAGACUGGCUUCCUGAGCUGCUUUGCUCAUUCUUUCUGAUUGUGUCUCCUGUCUCUGUGCUUGCCUCCUGGUUCCAGGUUAUGCUUUCUCCAGCUCCAUCUCUUCUGUUUUUUGUGCUUCCUCUACCUCUGUUUUUCUUCCUUCCUGCUGCUAAGCUCCUUCCCCUUUUCUCUUCCUGGUUUGCUUGCUCUCCUUCCCAUUGGAUUUUCCACCCCCUACAUCUCUCACCCAUCUCACAUCCCAAAGCACCUGGAACAGACAUUUUGUCCUUGCACACAGCCUUUGAGCUAAAAGGAAAAGUCUGACCCAUGCACACCAAGCUGAGAUUUCUCUGGCUUGCUACGUUUUAGGCUCACUUAGAGUUUGUUAUAAACAUAUAUAUAUAUAUAAUGUAUAUAUAUAUAAUUGAGAGCAAGCAUUUAACUUUGGAACCUUUGGAACGUGCUUCAGGAAAGAGUUAAUCAUGCAUUGCAAUCCCUUUGUGUUCAGAGAAUGUAUGAGGGUAAACGUAUGAACGUUUAGGCCCUGUGUAUGUCCAAUGUUUUCUAGGUUUAGACUGUGGUCUGCUUGAAUAUAGGCAUGUAACUACAAGUUCUCUUAAGUCUGUGUGCUUAUAUUUCUCCAUAUGUUUUUUUGAACUUAAGCCUCAGCAGCUGUUGAAGGGAAGCUUCUAUUCUGGAAAUAGAAACUCAACAUAAAAUGGCUCCAAAUAAACGGAGAAACUUAUAAAAAGAAGGCUUUGUAGUGAGACAUCUAUUUUUAUAAGAAUUAAAGAAUUAUGAAUUCUAUACAUAUUUAUACCUCUUAAAUACUCUUUCAAAAAAAAUCUUUUCCCUACUUUUUCCAUCUCCUUCUAUUUCUCUUAGUAUAAACAAUUUUUCACAAUGAAAGAUAUAUGAAAUAACAUAUUUUAUUUAUUAUUUUAAAUUAAAUGUAAGGAAAUCCAAAAUAAUAUGCUUCACAUUCUAAUAACAAUAAACCACUAUAAGAUAUCUUCUGAUAUGAUGUUCCUGACACUUUUCUUGUGUGAUAGAAAGCAGAUACUACCACAGUUUCAUAAUUAACUCAAUAUCAUCAUUUUGUUCACCCUUGUCUGUUGCAUCUGACCAUCCAUUGCCACAAUGGAUUUGUCUGGAGAUUUCUAUCUUAACAAUCACUUUUAACUAUCUUAUCUUAACUAUCACUCUUUCAAUAUCAUAGCUUGCUUCACUUCCAGGUGUAAUAGAGAAGAAGAAGGUGAAUGAUUCACUGUUCUGAGAAACUAAUGUAGGAAACUCAUGUCUUCAUGCUAGCGUAAAUGUAAAUUUCCCCCUAGAAAAAAAAGUCACCUCCUAGGAUUUUCUUCAGCUCAAGGUAGAGCUGGUAAGAAUAUUGCACAGCUUCUUAUUAGCCAAGAAAAGCCACAAUGCCAUUCCUUCAGUGUGCUGACAGCAUGCUACCCACCCAGACAUUUUCUGGGAGGGAGUCUCUUCAGGGCAACAUACACUGCUACAGAAGCCAGUCUUAUACAUUACCAGCUACACAAUGAAUUUCAGCUGGCCCUGCCUCCACUUUCAGGUAGGCUGAAGAGAAGAAGUGACAGUUUAAGAGCUACACUGAGAUCAAGAAAGCUUCCCUCCAGUUCCCUAUCCUGCUGGACUGUGUGGUUAGAGCCAAAUGAUUUGUUUCCUGCAUCCUGUAGCUCAAUAUAUGGGAAAUAAGGCAUUCCUCAAUAACCUGGCAUGCUAAGGGGUAUACACACAAGUUUGUGGUGCAUAUAGAGAUUGUGGCAACAGGGACCACUGACAAUAAUAAUUAGCGACUAGAAGAACUACAAGCAAAGCUCACUGAUUCAAUUUCUCUGCUAUAUAUAUUUAGGUAUACAAGAAAGAAAAAGAGAAAGCAAGAAAGCAGUGUGAUCUUCUAUCUAUUGGUAGUUUCCCUGCUGAGGGAUGGUGUAAUAAGUCUGAAGAUAUAAGAUCGGUUUGGGGUCCAAAUACAAUGCCAGCUGAGGUGCCAGGGUGUGUAUCUACUCUCUGAGAGCUCAUUUUGUUUCACACCACAUGGAUCCGCCGCCUGCCAUCUUCCAACACCUCUCCCAGUGCCUGAAUCGUCUACAAUGCAGAAAUGGAAAUUAGGCACCUUAAAGGGCGAAAUGCACAUUGAAAACAACAGAUCUAAGGAAAAUUUAGGGUAAUAAAUGCUGUUUUCCUACUUUAAAGAAAUUAUUCUGGGAAACAGUAUGGCUCGGGGGAUGGGUAUUGGGAUAUACAGCCUUUCAUCACUGAUCCAAACAUGACCCAAGUCAGUACUGACCAAAAAAUGGUUACCAUUUGGCAGAUGCUUUGUGGCCUAGAGUAUUUGAAAUGAGUUGAUGGUCUUAAUCCAGUUCCCAGUGGACAACUAUCCACAUCACAGAAACCACCACCACAAUUGGCACCCUUAUUGGCAGCCUUAGCAGGUUGGCCAAGGAUUAAAUAAGUACAGAGAGUGAGCCACCCGCUGAUGCCUAGCUAGAGGUUGCCCCUCUAGGUCAUGGAUGAGACACAGGGAUGGGGUGGAGUGGGGAAGCACACACACCCUCUGUUUGUGCUGUGCUGGUUUGUGGGCAAGGAGAAGAAUUCAUUUUCCAGAGCAGUGAUUCAAGCACCCUUCAUAAGCACUAUAUUCUUGUGCAUGCGUUUGAAUACGAAUUGAAUAUAGAGUUCAAAACAGAAAGAUUUGCAAGAUCAGUUCUCAAAAAAAUAAGGGGUUUGACUAAUUUCCAGGGAAUUUAUCAGACUCAAUGUAGUUAUACUGGGGUUGCACUUAAGAAAAUGUGUACAAGCAACCUGGGGAAGCAGCUCCAGUUUGGAAACAUUCCUUUUGUUUGCUGUGUUGUCAGUCAUUGCUUUAAUUAUCUCACAAGAUGUCUUAGAAGGAACACAAUCCAUGCCAGCUACUGUCAGCAAGCUAAUGUUGAUUUCCAAUUAGGUAUACAAUGGCAACUAUCAUGUAAGCAAAGAUCUAAUAGGCCUCAAAAAAACAUAUCUGUGCAAGAUGAAGAAAAGCAAAGAGGACUUUUGUUAGCACUGAAAGUGCUUUCCUUUUCUAGAGAGGUAAAAUAUGCCAGGCCCCUUGAUUUACCUUUACCCAACACAGGAAACCUUCCUUAGUGAGCUGAUGGAUUUUGCAACAUCUUUCCAAUAAACAGCAAAAUACUGUGAGCUAAGGCCUGCAGUAAUUCAGAGAAAGGUUGGAUGGAGCCAAAAUUUCAGCUUACAUAUGCAAGGCAGCAUCUUGUCUGGUUGAACAUGGGGCAAAGAUCACGAAUGUUGCCCAGUGCCAAGGUCUGAGGCUUCUCCCUUCCUGCAGCCAAAGUGAGCAAGGCUGGAUCAAGAGCCACAGUUUAUGGCAAGUGAUGACUGCUCUGCCCAGGCAAAGACACGGGGAGCAAAUACUGCAAGCUGGAGGCCCCCUUUCCUAUUCACCUCAGUGGCAGCCUGAGAGCCUUGUCAUCUACCAGACAUUGUCACACCAAGUCAUUAAUAAGAAGGUACAAACCUGCCUGUUACGUAUUCUUUGCGCCUUGGUUAAUUUAAUGCCUAGCUGCCAUACUUGCCUGCGGCAGGGCUGAAACACCAGCCAGCCUGAGAAAGCAAGGCAUUUGCUACCUACAAGGAGGAGCUGUCAUUUGGUCUUUGCUGCAGUACAUUCCUCAUCUAUUUCAGGCUUUAUAGUCCUCCCUGUAAAAAGAAAAUUCUGUCAGGGAAAAAUGGCAAACUGCUAAAGAGUCCUUGUCUGUGAUACAUCUUGUUCCUGCUCCUGGGGAGUUAUUUCCAUUUGUUUUCAUUUGCACCUGGAACAGGAAGGCCCAGGCUUGGGAACAAGUCCAGAACCAAGUGGUGAGAAGGAGCUCUCCCUGUGAGCAGCAGGGAUCCCACUCAGCACAGCACCCUGCCUAACCUCGGGUGCCCACACGCUUCUGCCACACCAGCACUUGCAAGGUGUGAAGAGCACCCUUGUAGAAGUACUUGACCUAAACUGAGCAAAUUUCCUAACUGCAGUAAGACAACACUUGAGGGUGUGGUUAGCACAGAAAUUAAACUCAUGGACAGAGUAGGAGUGCCUGGCUGCAUCUCCUGCCUGUCUUGCCCUGAGGCCAUGAGUAUCUCAGCUGGUGCCACCUGCCAAGCCUUGAUGGUGGGCUGGGCUGAGAGAGGAGCACGGCACACAAGGGCUGGCACAGAAGCACAGCUGCAUUUAGGGUCACAACUCAAAGCUUCCUGCUGGGAGUUUUCAAAAUAUUCUGCCCUUUUCUCCCAGAAGAGGAUAAAGCCAAAGAAGACACAGGCUUUAUAGCUUCCGGAGGGCUUUCACCAUGAAAACAGUGCAGAGACUUCAAGGUAUAUCCAGGUGAGGUCAUGCUGUGUGUGUUGCACUGCGUGCAAGUCCUUGUUACCCCUCAUGUUUUGUCUCAUUCCCAGCUCUAGGUGUAAAGCCUGUCCUCCAAGAUGAGUGGAUGGGUGCCAGCAGCAGAAGUCGGAGCAGACCCUGGCUGUGACAGGCCUGCCAAGCUUCUCAGGCACAAGGGAGGUAGAAAACAAAAGACAAAGCCCUGAGCCCAGGGGAGAGGAUGACAAUGGCGAGACACCGCUCCAGCCUCGGCUGCAACUCACCCGCGCUGCCUGGCCGAGCUCGCUCCGUGCACCCCACUCCCUGCGCAGUGCUCCCCGGGGACACCCCACUGGAGGAGCAGGCUGCGCGCUCCGCGCCUCUCCUGCUGGGAGAUGACCGGGACAGCCGGCAGCUCCCGAUGAACGGCUCUAUCUCGGACGGUGAAUGGCUCUUUCGGCCCCCCCGAAGAGCUCCCGCAGGCGCUUCGCUCUCGUUGCCCCCCGUGUUGAAAAUUAAGUUCUGAUUUCAGCUCUGUCCAAAAUUCGGCUUUGGUUUCAGGGGGCUCCGUCCAAAAGAAAUAAAAAAAAAACCGUGUAAGUCGUGGCAGCGUGAGUGAGUGAGUGAGUGAGUGAGUGAGUGAGUGAGUGAGUGAGUGAGUGAGUGAGUGAGUGAGUGAGAAGUAAAGGCAGCUCGGAGCUUCCUGAUGGGGCCGGGUUCCGCUGGUAGAAGGGAAGGAAAGCAGUCGGAGAGAGCUCCGGGGGUAAUCCUCCGCUUCUGCUCUCCCCUGUCUCCUUCCCAGCCGGGCUCUCCCGGCAGGUCCGUGUCGCUACCGGGCAGAGGCCGCCCGUCCCUCGCCGCUCCGAGCCCCGCUGAGCAGAGCCGCUCGCUCCUCCUCCGUGCCUCGACGGCGCUUCUCUCUUCGGGUGUGCGACUGCAGACCUGGGAGCUGACGGAGGGACGUGCUCCCGGAUGCCGGGGUUUGAAAACGAAGCCCGAAAGAGGAAUGUGGACUGCGGAGAGUUUAGCUGAAAUACAGUCGAAAUGAACGUGCAGCGGGCUCCGACAGACCCUCGCUCCGCGGGGGUUGCGGAGCUUGUCUCGGGUUAAUUGCCUGAUAUCUGAGGGAGCUAUCUUGGCCGAGAACUCUUCCCAGCACCCCGGGGGGACCUCCCCGAGUUAACCAGUCCCUGCACACGGCUGCUGCAGGCUCUGCGGCACAACGAAAUAUUCCUUCGGGCGGAAUCGCAGCUGCAAAAUUGGUGUAAAAACGUCGUCUUUCGCCGAACACUCGAUAAGGAUCCCCUCGGGGUUCUGUUUCAUUUAAGCACUUUCAUCUGCAUGCGUAGCGCGUGCAUGUGCUGGAGCCAUGAGUGUCAUUGUAGGAAACGCUGCCCUCGAUUAAUAACGGGGAGAAGCUGGAGCCUUCCAGAGAUUAUUUACACCUAGAAUCGUCUCCUUUAUUUGUAAUUCUUCUUAAAAAAAAAAAAAAAAAAACUAAAAUCGACGUGUUUUUACCUCUUUAGGUGCGUACGUAUACCUGUAAACCUCGAAAGCCAAAGGACUAUGCAUGCCCUCUGCUACCUGUCCCCUCUCAGCCACGUGAAGUGGCUGUGGCAGCCUUGCCGAGCGCCAGCUGGAUAGAGAACGGGGGAUGAGGUUUGAUGGCUUGUUUGGAGCACUUGUUCGGCUUCAGAUAUAUUUUAAAUGUGCAUCUGCUUUGAAACAUGUCCCUGGGAAAAACGAAAAAAAAAAUAAAAUAAAAUAAAAUUGAAUUCUAAAAUCGAAAAGUUGCUGCUGGCGUUGGAGCACCGGGAGGUGAGGCUGCAGGGUCUGAUCAAGCCCAGCCCAAACGACAGCGCUUUGCCAUUCCCCACAGCUUCGGGGCGAAGAGGGAUUCUUCCACAGCAGAAUCGUGGAGUCGGAGAAAUCUCGUAUGGCAUCAACCAAAUCGAACAGUUCCCCUUCGGAAGAUAUUUUUUCCUCGAAAAAUAGGGGCAGUUAUUACAUCGGAAAUUUAGUAGUAACGAUGCUGAUGAUAAUGAUAACUUGUUAGGUUCUGUACAGAUUCUUUCUAUAUGUGUGUCAGUUCGGGACAGAGAAGUGCACUUGUUUUGUCAGAUUCGUGGUGUGGCAUUGGAGGAGCCAAUACUGUCGGUAACACCUCACAUGGGCAUUUCGGUAUAUGCCGCAUCUUCCCCAAACACGUGUAUUGUGGACAGAAUAAGAGCAGAGCGGAACUGGAAUGGUUGCCGACUCCCUGCGACAGACGGCAGAUGAGGCAGUGCAGACAUGAAAUAAGCAUUUCCCUUUCCAUUCAUCUCUUUCCAGCUGCGGACUCUCUCCGUCCCCGAAAAGCGCCGUGUCCGGAAGCAGAGCAUGUCGGCAGCUCGGGACACACGUCCAGCCGGCACCGCGCUGUCCUUCUUCCUGCUGCGAGCCGCCACUCCCUGUACCCCGCACCGCCACUAGCACAGUGCAAGGAGAAGGGGGCAAGGCUGAGCAGCGUGCAAUUAGCGGGGUCGGGUUGUAAAAGGCGGGAGGGGCUGGAACCGCCCCACUCCGCCCCGAGGGGACUCGAGAAGACGGGUAUUUCGUUGAGGCUGGGCGAGAUAAAGGGGAAAAGGGGCGAUUUGCCACCAGAGCCCCGCAAUGCCUGCGGAUCCGUCCUUCCGAAGGUCGCAUUGCUCACCCUCGGAGCAUCCGCUGCCAUUUGCAUCUGUGGCACAGCUGUGAUUCGUGACUUCCGAUACGUUUAUUAAUUAAACUGGAGCUGAUCGCCCUGCAAUUUUCGCAAGCGAAAUUCCCAUUUCAAUCCAGCCGCUAGCUGAGGCCAACGUGUGAGCGCUGCAGCCUGAUCCACUCUUCCCACCCACCCCCAGCAGCGUGGAAGCCAGGCUGGGCGCGGGCAGGAACACCACCUUACACCUCACCUUCUCCGGCAAAGUGCAAAAUGGAAAUGGGAAGAACGAGAAUUCCACGUGAGGAAGGGAGGAAGGAAGAAGGAAGGACCCCCUGAGCGGAUCUCACUCUGUCCUCCCAGUUGGAAAUAAUGACUUCCCCAAGCCACGCUCUCCUGGUCCCCUGCCCUGGCACCACCAAGCUGCUGUUCCGCAACUGCACACACAGACAACUGUGUGUUACAUUGCUCCCCUCCCCUAGGCUCAUGGUUGGCACUGUCCAGCCAGGAAGCGUAGUUCUUAGCACGUUUUAUUAGGACAGGAACACGUGCUCCACAGCAAAUGAAAUGACUGCAUAACUCCUUGCUGUCUCCAUUUUCACUGUGCAAACUAAACUGAACGCACUGGAAGACAAAAUUACAUUUUAUCUCAAGUAACUCCCUUUUUCUAUACACAGAGCUAGCCAGAAAAGGUAUCAUUACUCUAAGAAGAUAUGGUUUCAACAAAGUGAUAGUUCCAGUGGCUGAUAAAAGAGGAAAUAAUUGCUUCUUACAUGCCCAGCCUGGAAGUAGCCCUGGAUCUCAGAGAGAAUUUCUGUCCUAUUGUUCAGAGAAAAUGAAGUAUCCUCAUCGCCUUACAGACACGGUGAUGGAUCUGAUGGGAUUUCUGUAAGGGCUUUUACUGUUCCUGCCAUCCAUUCAGUUUUGCUUCCAGGCUCAGUUCAGCAACAUUCUUGUGAUUUUUUUGGUCUGAACCCCUUUCUAAUAUAGCCAAGCUCAUUUUCUCAAGUAAAUCUGCAUUGCACCUUGUAACGUGUGCCCAACCUUCUGCUCCCUUUAAAAACAAAACAGCAGUGAAAGCGAGCGCUAAUACCAUUACCCCUUAUUUUGCAAACCAUUUUCUCGGAGCUCCUCUGUCCUCCGGUGACUUGGGGUGGGGAAUGUGUUUCACGAAGCCCUUCAGCUACUGAUGAGGUACCCUGAUCAUCGUGGUGCUUAAUUUACGGCUACACAGUCCCACCACCCCGCUUGUCGUCCCAAUCCACGUCCUUCUGGAGGACGACAGGGACUAUCGCUCAUAGCUAGGAGGAGAGCAGGUGAUAUUCGUCCCGCAGUCCCCUCCUGUCUCUAGCACCGGCUGAUCUGGGGCGCAGGGGCCGGGCCUCCGGCGCUAGGGUAUCGGCCGCGGGGCGGGCUGAGAGCCUUGCCCAAAUGACGAAAUGUAUAGCUGGGUAGACGGCUGAGCGAACGCAGUCCGGCUGGUGCUUGCCGAGCAACCAGCUGGGGACCCUCCGGCAAGAAGAAGGCAAAAGCCGGGCUGGGGAGGGAGCUCCGGUGGGGACAACGUUUCCCUUCUCCUCCCUAGGAACCUGGUUUAACACCCCUGUAUCGCGUGACCUUAACCCCUGGCCGCUGCUUUCUCCCUCCGGCAGUGCCCCCCCGGCAGCCUCCUGCUCCCAGGGCAGCUGCCAGCAAGGCCGGGCCCGCCGCUCUCUGUGAAGGGGGCUGCGGCCCCUCGUCUAUCCCCGUGCUGAGCCGUGCCGGGGAGCCGUGGGGAUGGGCCCAGCCACUCGGAGCUGCCCUUUCGUCCCGCUUCUUCCCUAUGUUGGUUUCAAAGCGGGAAGAAAGCAUUUUAGGAUUGCAACUCACCUUAUGCAUUCUUGAUCAUUAAAAAAAAAAAAAAUCCCCCAGCUAUGCAAAGACA